GGCAGGGCUCUGCCUCCAUACUGGCCUUCUGAGAAAUGGAGAGGUUGUGCACAUUUGGCACUGAGGCCCAGCCGCAUCCAGCAAGGUUGGACCUGCCUCAGUGAGACUUGUGGUGGGAAGCAGACCUGGUGCUGGCUGCAAUCUGCAAUCAGAGGUCAAUUUUGUUUUCCUGUAUCGCAGCAGCAGAGUUCUUUCCCAAAGCGACCCAAGGACAGGCGGUGUGGAGCCACAGUGACCUCCGCCGGCCAGCCCUGCCUUGCUGCGGAUCUGACAGCUUUUCCAGGUACAGAAGAGUGCUUGCCCUGCUUGCUCUGAUCUCCUGCUUGCACAGGUGGAAGACUUGCUGCUCUUGCACUGCUUGCACACGGGGCCAGCUGAAGGCAUUGAGAUGAGUAUCCCCAAAUUCCAGCCUGAGGA